rnacentral:miRNA from 1 species
AGAAUCUUUGCUGGUGCAAGCU